ACAGGGGAUGCUGAAAACCUAUAAAAGAGUAAGCA
rnacentral:ncRNA from 1 species